rnacentral:lncRNA from 1 species
GAGUUAUAAAGAAAGCUUUUUACCCUGAUGAUCUCAGAUGUUGUAGAUGGAGUUAAUCCAUCAUUCUCUAGUUUAGACAAGUGCUACUAGUCCCACCGUCAGGAAAGAGGCAGCUGUUGCUUAUUACUAUUAUGAGGACAGCAGAUGAUCCCCAUUUUUGUGAGGGUUUUUUUUUCUACUAUAAAAACAGAACUUUCUGGUGUCUGGGAUGCUGACCCUGGACUUGAGGUGCUGUGAUGGCUGUGUGGACAGAAGGGAGGCCAAGAGACCCAGAGCUAUCACUAACACAGAACUUCCAGGAAUUUGUUUGCAGAGAAUUUACAUACUAUCAAGGCGCACAUUUCUUCUCCUAAAGGAAGGAGUCUCGGAGUCCCCACAUCAGCUGCUAAUGCUUCCUAUUUUGUGUUGUUUUCCAUGUACUGUGUCUAUAUCUUGUAAGUACCUCCUCCUCUAGACUUCAGGGAGAAAGGCAGUGCUUGUUUUGUCUUCCUUUGUAUCCCAAGUGUUAAGUGUAAUUCCUGACUAAUAGUAAACACUUAAUCAAUAUUUGGUGAUAUACAGACUCAUUUAUUGGACCCUAUUACACAGGUACAAUGCAAAAAAGGAAGAGAGAAAUUCCUAUCUUCAAGGAGUGUAGAACAUACUGAAGGUAGGCAGCAUUUGUAAAAAUCAAGCAGGGCAUUUAAAAAAUCAGAAAUAAAGACCAAACCUAGAUAACGCUUCCA